CAUUUUCGGGGAAGGCGCUUUGUGAAAUAGGCUCUAUUUCUCUUGUCCUUUCGUACUGGGAGAAAUAUUUAAUACAUAGAAACCGACCUGGAUUUCUCCGGUCUGAACUCAGACCAAGU